GACGAACGCUGGCGGCGUGCUUAACACAUGCAAGUCGAACGGAAAGGCCCUGCUUUUGUGGGUUGCUCGAGUGGCGAACGGAUGAGUAACACGUGAGUAACCUGCCCUUGACUUUGGGAUAACUUCAGGAAACUGGGGCUAAUACCGGAUAGGAGCUCCUGCUGCAUGGUGGGGGUUGGAAAGUUUCGGCGGGUGGGGAUGGACUCGCGGCUUAUCAGCUUGUUGGUGGGGUAGUGGCUUACCAAGGCUUUGACGGGUAGCCGGCCUGAGAGGGUGACCGGCCACAUUGGGACUGAGAUACGGCCCAGACUCCUACGGGAGGCAGAAGUGGGGAAUAUUGCACAAUGGGCGGAAGACUGAUGCAGCAACGCCGCGUGCGGGAUGACGGCCUUCGGGUUGUAAACCGCUUUCGCCUGUGACGAAGCGUGAGUGACGGUAAUGGGUAAAGAAGCACCGGCUAACUACGUG
rnacentral:rRNA from 1 species